rnacentral:piRNA from 1 species
UGGCUAACUCAGAUGUAGUGGAACCAU